rnacentral:misc_RNA from 1 species
AACGCACGAGACCUGCGGACCUGCGGAAGGAUCAUUACCGAGUUAGGGUAGUCACUCACUGCCCGACCUCCCAACCCUGUGCCUACCACACUUUGUCGUUGCUUCGGCGGACCGGUUGACCAACUGGUCGUGACCGCCGGGGGCUGGCUCUGUCCCCCCUGGAGAGCGUCCGUCGAUGGCCCAACCACAAAACUCUUGUACCGAAACGUGUCGUCUGAAUUAUAUUUGAGAAAUCAAAAA